rnacentral:rRNA from 1 species
GACGAACGCUGGCGGCGUGCUUAACACAUGCAAGUCGAGCGGGCGGAGGACUUCGGUCCAAAGCUAGCGGCGGACGGGUGAGUAACGCGUGAACAAUCUGUCCCAGACAGGGGGAUAACAACCUGAAAAGGUUGCUAAUACCGCAUAAGACCGCGUUCUCGCAUGGGAAUGAGGUAAAAGGAGGAAUCCGGUUUGGGGUGAGUUCGCGUCUGAUUAGCUAGUUGGUGAGGUAACGGCCCACCAAGGCGACGAUCAGUAGCCGAUCUGAGAGGGUGACCGGCCACAUUGGGACUGAGACACGGCCCAA